UAUGUGAUCGUCUCUCGCAUAUCAAUAAGCGGAGGAAAAGAAACUAACAAGGAUUCCCCUAGUAACGGCGAGUGAAGCGGGGAGAGCUCAAAUUUGAAAUCUUAAAGGGUUUCCCUUUACGAAUUGUAGUUUAAAGAAGUGUUUUCUGUUGAGGUUUUGGUAAAAGUUCUUUGGAAUAGGACAUCAUAGAGGGUGAGAAUCCCGUAUUUGACCUUUACUUUCAACUUUGUGAUACACUUUCAAAGAGUCGGACUGUUUGGGAAUGCAGUCCAAAAUGGGUGGUAAAUUUCAUCUAAAGCUAAAUAUUGGCGAGAGACCGAUAGCGAACAAGUACCGUGAGGGAAAGAUGAAAAGAACUUUGAAAAGAGAGUUAAACAGUACGUGAAAUUGUCAAAAGGGAAGCGUUUGACACCAGUGUUGUUUCUCUGAAAAUCAAUUAAAGAACUGUUUAUGCUAAGUUGUUUAGACUUUAUCAGCUAACUGUUUAGUUUUGAGCUUUUCUUUAAUGCACUUUUCAGUUAACAAGUCAACAUCAAUUUCUUUUGCUGUAAAAAAGCUUGAGGAAGGUGGCUUGAGAUUCGUCUUAAGUGUUUAUAGCUUCUUGCCUAUGCAGUCGGAGAGAUUGAGGUCUGCAGCGUAGAUCCUUCGGGGCUAAAUGCAUUUGUGCUAAGUUAUAGCAUUUUAUAGUCAACUUGUUGACUAUGAUUUGUCUUGUAGCUUACUCGCUUAUGUUAUUUUACCUACGCUUAGGAUGUUGAUAUGCAUGACUGAUAU
rnacentral:rRNA from 1 species